AUUGAACGCUGGCGGCAGGCCUAACACAUGCAAGUCGAGCGGAUGAAGGGAGCUUGCUCCUGGAUUCAGCGGCGGACGGGUGAGUAAUGCCUAUGAAUCUGCCUGGUAGUGGGGGAUAACGUCCGGAAACGGGCGCUAAUACCGCAUACGUCCUGAGGGAGAAAGUGGGGGAUCUUCGGACCUCACGCUAUCAGAUGAGCCUAGGUCGGAUUAGCUAGUUGGUGGGGUAAGGGCCUACCAAGGCGACGAUCCGUAACUGGUCUGAGAGGAUGAUCAGUCACACUGGAACUGAGACACGGUCCAGACUCCUACGGGAGGCAGCAGUGGGGAAUAUUGGACAAUGGGCGAAAGCCUGAUCCAGCCAUGCCGCGUGUGUGAAGAAGGUCUUCGGAUUGUAAAGCACUUUAAGUUGGGAGGAAGGGCAGUAAGUUAAUACCUUGCUGUUUUGACGUUACCAACAGAAUAAGCACCGGCUAACUUCGUG
rnacentral:rRNA from 1 species